UAAUAUACCUGGCAGGGGAGAUACCAUGAUCACAAAGGUGGUCUUCCCAGGGCGAGGGUUAUCCAUUGCACUCCAGAUGUGCCGACCCCUGCGAUUUCCCCAAAUGUGGGAAACCCAACUGCAUAGUUGUGAUAGUGGGGGGCAAGGGGGAAGAUAGUUGCCAACACCAU
rfam:Myotis brandtii contig270277, whole genome shotgun sequence.